UUUUCGCAAACGGGACGUGUUUCAGAUCAAUAACUCCAUUCGGCGUUCCUGGGAGAGAGGAGUUGUGGUGCCCGCGCAACACCAUCCUAGUCCUGGUCUCCAUUGCUGUUCCAGUUGCCGAACGAUACGGUCGUCUCGUCCGCGAAAAACACAAGAAUUUUCGAGCUUUUGCAUGCGGGAUCUCCUUACCCGCCAUCGCUGAGAGAGGGCCAUCAUACGCGGCCAUUUCGAUUCCGUGAAACGACACGGUGUAUGGUGUAAGAGAAAAGUGCCUCGGAUGAACAAGUACGCGCUUUUCGCUGUUGUUUGUUGCAUGUGGGGGUGAGCGUCGUUGUGAUGGGGCGGGGCCACAGCUCGCCCAUGGAGCUCGGCUAGAGUCGUGCGCCCCUGCCCGGCUGCCCCCCGCCCCCCCUCCCGCCUUCGCCCCGGCCCACUUAUGGAGCCGGACCAACGAGAACAACGCUGCAACAGGCCCAGCGCCUUUGAUAAAAUGGAGGGGCUGGUACGCAGCAUGCAGGACACGGAGCACGGGGGCGUUCCAGUCAGAAGCCAAAAGAUAUUUCUCACAUCCAUACCCGCCGCCUUCAUGGGGUACGACUUGAUCGAAUGGCUCAUGGAUAGACUCGGCAUCGAAGAAUCUGAGGCUCUCAACUUGGCCAAUCAGCUAUGCCAGUACGGUUACUUCUUCCCGGUCAGCGAUUCUAAGAACUUGGUGGUCAAGGAUGACAGUUCCCUGUACAGAUUCCAGUCGCCGUAUUAUUGGCCGGCGCAGAACAGAUCGCCCGAGCACAUGGAGUACGCCGUGUACCUGGUCAAGAGGACCCUGCGGAACAAACAGAGACACGGUCUCGAAGAAUACGAACUGGAGGCGUUGAGCAACCUGAAGAAGAACCUCGCCAACAAAUGGGAAUUCAUAACGAUGCAGGCGGAAGAACAAGUAAGCUAUGCUCCACCUACGAACCCGUUGAAGUUGUUGCGAUUACCGACGUUUCAGGUCAAGUUGGCCAAGGGUCUUAAGAAAGGCGACAAGGUCAUAUCGGACUCCCAGGAGAGAGCCUAUUGGAGGAUUCUGAGGCCCCCGCCCGGUAUGACCUCGUCGUUGGAGCAAUGUCCGGUGCCCACGAGAAAUUGGAACGGACAGAGGAGGAAGAAGACGCUGGAGAACGUCAAGAGAGAGGUGGAGUUUUUGAAGAAGAGUCUGACGCGUACGAGGAUCAAGGUGUCGCAGGCUCUGGAGGGCAUGAUACAGUACGUCGAGACCUACGCGGAAUACGACGCCCUCAUCACGCCCGCCCAACCAUCGAAUCCGUGGGUUUCCGAAGAUCUGACGUUUUGGCAGCUCAAUAGUCCCCUAGUCGAGGUGGCGACCGAAAAGAGGGUGAGACGAUGGGGAUUGUCGAUGGAGGAGCUGGUUUCCGAUCCGACCGGCAUCCAAGAGUUCACGAUCUACCUCAGCAAAGAGUUCAGUCACGAGAACAUCAGGUUCUGGAUGGCGGUCAACGAUCUCAGGAGGUCUGCGCAAUCGCAGGUACCCGCCAAGGUACAGGAGAUCUUCGACGAAUUCCUGAAACCGGGAGCUCAGUGCGAGAUCAACAUCGACGGCAAGACGAUGGAGAAGAUCCACCAGGAGAUGCAGAACCCCAGCAGGUUCACCUUCGACGCCGCUCAAGAUCACAUCUACACGUUACUGCUCAAGAAGGACUGCUACCCGCGCUUCAUACGGUCCGAUUACUACAAGAAUCUACUGGCCAACGGCAAACAACCAUCUCAGAAGAAACGCUUUUUCGGCUUCGGCCCCACCAAGAAGAAGGCCUCGACCACGAUCGCUCAGAAUCAGAACCUGCUCCAGCAGCAGGUGUCUCAGGGAGCGGCAGGGUGCAGCAGCACCUUGACCAAGAGGCGCGGCAGCGACCGCAGCCUGUCCGGUUCCGCGCACGAGCUGGCCGUCUCGGGCAUCAAGGACACGAAGGUGCCACAUUCGCACUCGCAGAGCAACCUCAGCGACAUCCCCUACAGGGGUGAUCUGGCAAACCUACCGAAAGGCGUACCGGCUGCUGCAAUGGUACCUAGCCCAGUGAAGAAGCCGAACGUGGUGGCAGGAGCGUCGACGUCGGAGGAGGUGUGCCCCUGGGAGACGGCGCCCGAACCUAGAUCGCGGAAGAACUCGGGACAGUCGGGGAGUUCCUCCUCGGACAUAAGCGUCGCGGUCGCAGAGAUAUCGGAGAAGGUGCAGAGGACUAACAUCUUGACGCAACAGCACACGGUGGACGGCGGAAAGAAGCUGCUGGUGAACACGACGACGGAACCACCCAGGAGGGCGUCGGUCUCGGUGCCCAUAGCGUACAGCACCGAUCCGACCACCAAGAGGAAGGUGUCCUCGUUCGAGGACAGCACCUCGGCUACCGGCGCGUCGUCUUCGGUGUUCGUCGUUCCCAGUGAUCCGGACAAUAAGACGGAACAGACGGCGGUCGUCGUCUGUAAGACGCUGAAAAAAAGUCACAGCAUCGCGAAGACUUGUUCCGCUAACGCGCCUAUCAUAAGUGUCAGUUCGGUGGCGGACGAUCUGACAGACGACGAGGUCAGGCAGGACGCGACCGGAGAGAAGCAGGAGGCGGGAUGCAGCUUCCAUCAGACGAUCGAACCGCUGGCGCCGCUCGCCGAGCCGGACAGCGAGUCUCCCGCCAGCGAGCUGCCGCCCUCGGAGGUGCACCUGGACGAGGAGGCCAAAAGUAACGACGUCUGCCCGUGGGAAGACGAGUAAGUUACGGCAAGUGCACUUGUGACACCUUCUAGCUCUCUAGGCACCUUCCCCACGCUUAGCUCAGGGGAGGCCUGCAAGGUGGACACGCCGUUCGUCAAGACCUACGCAACGCUCGGCUACCUUUAGCAGAAGGAGAGGUGCGUCCAGAUCUGCUUGGUAAAAACGGCCUACAUGACUCCCGCACCGUUUAUUCCUCACCGAUCUUAAUCCAGUCAUCCCUUCAUCUUUACGCGCGAGAAGUCUGAAACCUCCCUUCCCCCGUUCCCGAAACGGUAUCGUGAAACGUUCGAAAGUCGUCGCGUCACUAGUCGUAGCGAAAUUCAGAAGGUUAGAUCGUUAGUUUUACAUGUCGAUUCUCUUCUAGCAAUAGGUAUAAAGAAGGCUGGAUUAUACCCGUUUACAAGCGACGAUAUCUCAAGAUGAAACUCGGUUCUUAAUACGAAUUUUCGGUAAUAUUUCCCGCUAAAUCCUUAAUUCUACGCUUGUACGUUCUCCAAAACUCAAAAGCACAGAACACAAAUAUCAAAAGUGACAGAGGUUGAAAUUCGGGUCAUAGAAAAAUUUUGAAUGUCAUGAAAGUGUCAUCAGGAUAGACCACUGAAAAAUAUGUUCCGUAACGAACGUACCCUUUUCGGAAGAUGCGAGAACCGCGGAUGAGUGUCCAGCUGACGAUGUAAUCGAAGAUGGACACCGAUGUUGAGCCCUUAGUCCGUCUCCAUCUCAGAUUUAUCGUCUCUCGACAUCGGAUCUGAGUCGCGCACCAAUUUUGACUAUUUCAAAAUAACUUAUCGAUAUAUGUAAAUGUAUCUGUUUAAUAUAAUUAUAAUAGUACGUGUGGUAGAGGCAAAGAUACAUAAACAUUUUGAUUGAUUAACGGUGCAGGUUGUCAGUCAAAACGGAAAAAAAUUUAAAAAAAAGUUCGAGUCAACCAGUAAAUUAUUGAUGCACAAGUAGUAUGCCUAUCUCUCUGUCGUGUUAAAGUUAGGUUAGAAUUUAUUCGGGUAUAAGUGUCGUAGUUUGUAGGUUUUGUUAUUAAUCAUGAUAAUGUUUGGGUCUCGGGUCCAUAUCUUGGGUUCUGCACCUCGAACGGGUACGACCAUAGAAAAUCAAUAUCACGGUAUGAGAAAAUCAUAGAAUAUCACGUGAUUUUCAAUCGGAUGAACAUAACAAAGAACCACAGAAUUCAAUAGAUUUUGCUUCACUUCCGUGAAGGAAAAACUCAAAUUACGUUGAAAUCCAAACAGAUACUCAACAAAUUUCUAAUGAACGGAAAAUUUGAUAUUCUUCAAUUAUCUGAAAAACCUGUCGGAGGAUGUUACUCUUUGUGUAGGAAAUGUUUUGAGGAAUAUAAGGAAACAAUGACAUGUUUAUAUUCUUUAUUGUCCAACUCAUUCACAGAAUAAUAUACAUAUUUGAAUUAUGAGAAAACAACACAGAAAACAAUAUAAAAAUAUCAUUAUGAAAAAAAUCAAAAUGAUGCCAAAUGGAAACAUUCCAUUUCAUUAUAAUUAAUUUAAGAAAUUUUGCUUUUCAUCUUGAGAUACCUGAAUUAAGAAUGAUAAUUUCAACAUUCAACCAAAAAAUAAUAGCGUAACAACAUAAAAAGAUACCUAUAAUAUAAUUUUAAAGCUCGAGCCAUCAUGUUUUCCCUAACCAAAAAAAAAAUUCACACCUUUCCAUCAAAUUCUCUCACAGACUGUCUUCAUCCACGAAUCAGGAAGUAUUUAUACAAUGAAUGUUAUUACUCGUGACCUCCUGUGUGUCGAUUUUUGACUAAUACAAAUAUUUAUUCUACUUUUCUGAAAUAUUUAAUCGAUGGGCAAGAUUUUUCAAGAAUAGAAAUUUAUGAUAAACUCGCUUUAAAAGAAUUGUACUCCCGCCAUAUCUGCUGCGGAAAAUUGUUUGAAAUUUGUAGAAAAAAGGAUGGGAAGUUAGAGGAGGCCUCAAUUGGACAUAAAUUUAUUGAAUGUAUAUAUAUAAAAAUUAUUAUAUUAUAUCGCAAUUAAUACUCAAAAUAGUGGGAACUGCGCAUCGAAAUUCGCUAAAUGUUUAAAAAAAAAUUGGAUUGUGUGAAACGAUCCUUAGCUCGUCCUUCUUGGAAGGAUAAAACGACUUUAUUAAGAUUAGAUUGAAUAGCCACUGGUUGUUCUUCAGUUAGAGCUCGAUGUUGAGUUUGAUGUGAUAGUUCCCGUUCCGGCAAACAAAGCUAUUUUGAAAUAUUUUGAUUUUUUCUUGUUUUCACCUUUUUUCCUCGAAAAUGCGAUCAGAGUAAUUUGUUAGUGAUGUAAAUAGUUUUAUAAACAGUAUUAGCUACUACCAUGAUUGAAAUGUUACUUACUAUUCAGUGUCCUUGGAUUCGUUUCAUUUAUUAGAAUUGUUGAUAGAAAAUGUUAUUAUUGUAGGAAAUAAAAUGGAAUACAAAAUUA